rnacentral:rRNA from 1 species
UCAGGUACUGGAGGUCCGAACCCACUAAUGUUGAAAAAUUAGGGGAUGAGCUGUGGAUAGGGGUGAAAGGCUAAACAAAUCCGGAAAUAGCUGGUUCUCCCCGAAAACUAUUUAGGUAGUGCGUCAUGUAUCACUUGCGGGGGUAAAGCACUGUUAUGGCUAGGGGGUCAUCGCGACUUACCAAACCAUGGCAAACUCUGAAUACCGCAAAGUGCGAGCAUGGCAGACAGACAGUGGGUGCUAACGUCCAUUGUCAAGAGGGAAACAACCCAGACCGCCAGCUAAGGUCCCCAAGACACAGUUAAGUGGGAAACGAAGUGGGAAGGCAUAGACAGCUAGGAGGUUGGCUUAGAAGCAGCCAUCCUUUAAAGAAAGCGUAAUAGCUCACUAGUCGAGUCGUCCUGCGCGGAAGAUGUAACGGGGCUCAAACUGUGCACCGAAGCUGCGGAUAUCGAAAGAUAUGGUAGGGGAGCGUUCUGUAGGUCUGUGAAGGUGUCUUGUAAAGGAUGCUGGAGAUAUCAGAAGUGCGAAUGCUGACAUGAGUAGCGAUAAAGGGCGUGAAAAGCGCCCUCGCCGAAAGCCCAAGGUUUCCUACGCAACGUUCAUCGGCGUAGGGUGAGUCGGCUCCUAAGGCGAGGCAGAAAUGCGUAGUCGAUGGGAAACAGGUCAAUAUUCCUGUACCGAUUCUAGAUGCGAUGUGGGGACGGAGAAGGUUAGGUCAGCCGGGUGUUGGACGUCCCGGAUUAAGCGUGUAGGCGUGCCCCUUAGGCAAAUCCGGGGGGCUGAGCUGAGGCGUGAUGACGAGGAACCACGGUUCCGAAGUGAUUGAUACCAAGCUUCCAGGAAAAGCCACUAAGCUUCAGUCUAGAGUUGACCGUACCGCAAACCGACACAGGUGGGCAGGAUGAAAAUUCUAAGGCGCUUGAGAGAACUCAGGAGAAGGAACUCGGCAAAUUAACACCGUAACUUCGGGAGAAGGUGUGCCCCGGUAGCGUGUAGAGACUUGCUCUCGAAGCGCGAUGGGGUUGCAGUGAAAUGGUGGCUGCGACUGUUUAAUAAAAACACAGCACUCUGCAAACACGAAAGUGGACGUAUAGGGUGUGACGCCUGCCCGGUGCCGGAAGGUUAAGUGAUGGGGUGCAAGCUCUUGAUCGAAGCCCCGGUAAACGGCGGCCGUAACGAUAACGGUCCUAAGGUAGCGAAAUUCCUUGUCGGGUAAGUUCCGACCUGCACGAAUGGCGUAACAAUGGCCACACUGUCUCCUCCUGGGACUCAGCGAAGUUGAAAUGUUUGUGAAGAUGCAAUCUACCCGCGGCUAGACGGAAAGACCCCAUGAACCUUUACUGUAGCUUUGCAUUGGACUUUGAACCGGUUC